AACGAACGCUGGCGGCAUGCCUAACACAUGCAAGUCGAACGAGACCUUCGGGUCUAGUGGCGCACGGGUGCGUAACGCGUGGGAACCUGCCCUUAGGUUCGGAAUAACUCCCCGAAAUGGGUGCUAAUACCGGAUAAUUUCUUCUGACCAAAGAUUUAUCGCCUUUGGAUGGGCCCGCGUUGGAUUAGCUAGUUGGUAGGGUAAAAGCCUACCAAGGCGACGAUCCAUAGCUGGUCUGAGAGGAUGAUCAGCCACACUGGGACUGAGACACGGCCCAGAAUCUUACGGGAGGCAGCAGAGGGGAAUAUUGGACAAUCGGCGAAAGCAUGAACCAGCAAUGCCGCGUGAGUGAUGAAGGUCUUAGGGUUGUAAAGCUCGUUUACCCGGGAUGAUAAUGACAGUACCGGGAGAAUAAGCACCGGCUAACUCCGUG
rnacentral:rRNA from 1 species